GAGCACGUAGGUGGGUUUGUAAGUCAGAUGUGAAAGCCUUCUGUUCAACGGAAGAAUUGCAUCUGAAACUGCGAGUCUUGAGUGUAGGAGGGGAGAGUGGAACUUCUGGUGGAGCGAUGAAAUGCGUAGAUAUCAGAAGGAACUCCGGCGGCGAAAGCGAUUCUCUGGCCUAUUACUGACACUCAGUGUGCGAAAGCUAGGGGAGCAAACGGGAUUAGAUACCCCGGUAGUCCUAGCCGUAAACGAUGGGCACUAAGUAGAGGGGUUUU
rnacentral:rRNA from 1 species